GGGUUGUGAGGUUAAGCGACUAAGCGUACACGGUGGAUGCCCUGGCAGUCAGAGGCGAUGAAGGACGUGCUAAUCUGCGAUAAGCGUCGGUAAGGUGAUAUGAACCGUUAUAACCGGCGAUUUCCGAAUGGGGAAACCCAGUGUGAUUCGUCACACUAUCAUUAACUGAAUCCAUAGGUUAAUGAGGCGAACCGGGGGAACUGAAACAUCUAAGUACCCCGAGGAAAAGAAAUCAACCGAGAUUCCCCCAGUAGCGGCGAGCGAACGGGGAGCAGCCCAGAGCCUGAAUCAGUAUGUGUGUUAGUGGAAGCGUCUGGAAAGGCGCGCGAUACAGGGUGACAGCCCCGUACACAAAAAUGCACAUGCUGUGAGCUCGAUGAGUAGGGCGGGACACGUGGUAUCCUGUCUGAAUAUGGGGGGACCAUCCUCCAAGGCUAAAUACUCCUGACUGACCGAUAGUGAACCAGUACCGUGAGGGAAAGGCGAAAAGAACCCCGGCGAGGGGAGUGAAAAAGAACCUGAAACCGUGUACGUACAAGCAGUGGGAGCACGCUUAGGCGUGUGACUGCGUACCUUUUGUAUAAUGGGUCAGCGACUUAUAUUCUGUAGCAAGGUUAACCGAAUAGGGGAGCCGAAGGGAAACCGAGUCUUAACUGGGCGUUAAGUUGCAGGGUAUAGACCCGAAACCCGGUGAUCUAGCCAUGGGCAGGUUGAAGGUUGGGUAACACUAACUGGAGGACCGAACCGACUAAUGUUGAAAAAUUAGCGGAUGACUUGUGGCUGGGGUGAAAGGCCAAUCAAACCGGGAGAUAGCUGGUUCUCCCCGAAAGCUAUUUAGGUAGCGCCUCGUGAAUUCAUCUCUGGGGGUAGAGCACUGUUUCGGCAAGGGGGUCAUCCCGACUUACCAACCCGAUGCAAACUGCGAAUACCGGAGAAUGUUAUCACGGGAGACACACGGCGGGUGCUAACGUCCGUCGUGAAGAGGGAAACAACCCAGACCGCCAGCUAAGGUCCCAAAGUCAUGGUUAAGUGGGAAACGAUGUGGGAAGGCCCAGACAGCCAGGAUGUUGGCUUAGAAGCAGCCAUCAUUUAAAGAAAGCGUAAUAGCUCACUGGUCGAGUCGGCCUGCGCGGAAGAUGUAACGGGGCUAAACCAUGCACCGAAGCUGCGGCAGCGACGCUUAUGCGUUGUUGGGUAGGGGAGCGUUCUGUAAGCCUGCGAAGGUGUGCUGUGAGGCAUGCUGGAGGUAUCAGAAGUGCGAAUGCUGACAUAAGUAACGAUAAAGCGGGUGAAAAGCCCGCUCGCCGGAAGACCAAGGGUUCCUGUCCAACGUUAAUCGGGGCAGGGUGAGUCGACCCCUAAGGCGAGGCCGAAAGGCGUAGUCGAUGGGAAACAGGUUAAUAUUCCUGUACUUGGUGUUACUGCGAAGGGGGGACGGAGAAGGCUAUGUUGGCCGGGCGACGGUUGUCCCGGUUUAAGCGUGUAGGCUGGUUUUCCAGGCAAAUCCGGAAAAUCAAGGCUGAGGCGUGAUGACGAGGCACUACGGUGCUGAAGCAACAAAUGCCCUGCUUCCAGGAAAAGCCUCUAAGCAUCAGGUAACAUCAAAUCGUACCCCAAACCGACACAGGUGGUCAGGUAGAGAAUACCAAGGCGCUUGAGAGAACUCGGGUGAAGGAACUAGGCAAAAUGGUGCCGUAACUUCGGGAGAAGGCACGCUGAUAUGUAGGUGAAGCGACUUGCUCGUGGAGCUGAAAUCAGUCGAAGAUACCAGCUGGCUGCAACUGUUUAUUAAAAACACAGCACUGUGCAAACACGAAAGUGGACGUAUACGGUGUGACGCCUGCCCGGUGCCGGAAGGUUAAUUGAUGGGGUUAGCGCAAGCGAAGCUCUUGAUCGAAGCCCCGGUAAACGGCGGCCGUAACUAUAACGGUCCUAAGGUAGCGAAAUUCCUUGUCGGGUAAGUUCCGACCUGCACGAAUGGCGUAAUGAUGGCCAGGCUGUCUCCACCCGAGACUCAGUGAAAUUGAACUCGCUGUGAAGAUGCAGUGUACCCGCGGCAAGACGGAAAGACCCCGUGAACCUUUACUAUAGCUUGACACUGAACAUUGAGCCUUGAUGUGUAGGAUAGGUGGGAGGCUUUGAAGUGUGGACGCCAGUCUGCAUGGAGCCGACCUUGAAAUACCACCCUUUAAUGUUUGAUGUUCUAACGUUGACCCGUGAUCCGGGUUGCGGACAGUGUCUGGUGGGUAGUUUGACUGGGGCGGUCUCCUCCUAAAGAGUAACGGAGGAGCACGAAGGUUGGCUAAUCCUGGUCGGACAUCAGGAGGUUAGUGCAAUGGCAUAAGCCAGCUUGACUGCGAGCGUGACGGCGCGAGCAGGUGCGAAAGCAGGUCAUAGUGAUCCGGUGGUUCUGAAUGGAAGGGCCAUCGCUCAACGGAUAAAAGGUACUCCGGGGAUAACAGGCUGAUACCGCCCAAGAGUUCAUAUCGACGGCGGUGUUUGGCACCUCGAUGUCGGCUCAUCACAUCCUGGGGCUGAAGUAGGUCCCAAGGGUAUGGCUGUUCGCCAUUUAAAGUGGUACGCGAGCUGGGUUUAGAACGUCGUGAGACAGUUCGGUCCCUAUCUGCCGUGGGCGCUGGAGAACUGAGGGGGGCUGCUCCUAGUACGAGAGGACCGGAGUGGACGCAUCACUGGUGUUCGGGUUGUCAUGCCAAUGGCACUGCCCGGUAGCUAAAUGCGGAAGAGAUAAGUGCUGAAAGCAUCUAAGCACGAAACUUGCCCCGAGAUGAGUUCUCCCUGACCCUUUAAGGGUCCUGAAGGAACGUUGAAGACGACGACGUUGAUAGGCCGGGUGUGUAAGCGCAGCGAUGCGUUGAGCUAACCGGUACUAAUGAACCGUGAGGCUUAACCUUACAACGCCGAAGGUGUUU
rnacentral:rRNA from 1 species